rnacentral:rRNA from 1 species
GACGAACGCUGGCGGCGUGCUUAACACAUGCAAGUCGAACGGUAAGGCCCUUCGGGGUACACGAGUGGCGAACGGGUGAGUAACACGUGGGUGAUCUGCCCUGCACUUCGGGAUAAGCCUGGGAAACUGGGUCUAAUACCGGAUAGGACUCCUGCCUGCAUGGGUGGGGGUGGAAAGCUUUUGCGGUGUGGGAUGGGCCCGCGGCCUAUCAGCUUGUUGGUGGGGUGAUGGCCCACCAAGGCGACGACGGGUAGCCGGCCUGGGAGGGUGACCGGCCACACUGGGACGAGGAUACGGCACAGGAUCCUACGGGAGGCAGCAGUGGGGAAUAUUGCACAAUGGGCGCAAGCCUGAUGCAGCGACGCCGCGUGAGGGAUGACGGCCUUCGGGUUGUAAACCUCUUUCAGCAUCGACGAAGCGAAAGUGACGGUAGGUGCAGAAGAAGGACCGGCCAACUACGUGCCAGCAGCCGCCGUAA